rnacentral:snRNA from 1 species
GUCCCUUCGAAGAUAUCCCAAAAAAUUGGAAUGAUACAGACAAGAUUAUCAUGGCUCUUGUAUAAAGAUGACACGCAUAAAUGAGGAGGAAGAUGCUG